UGUUAAUUUUCCAGACAUUUAGAUCUCCUUGAGUUGGUUGUGCUAAUCCAGACAUAUAUAGAAUUGAGAUCUACUGAUGUCUGAAAAUUAGCUUGGAUUGGAAACUUUCAAUGAAUCUUAAACUGGACUUUAAAAGCCUUGUAUUAAUGUACUAUGUCUUCUAUCUGUAGGCUAGGAAAGUCAAGCUUGAGAUACUACAUCAUGUUUGAUCUGGUGUUACAAUAAAUCUGGACGAAUUUCUCUCUUUGAGGUUUCCUAAAUUUGCCAAGGUCCCUCCCGGGGUUUGUCUGAGAAUGACCUUCCUCCCUGCUCUGGGAUUGGACUUCUGAACCGGUUUCUUUGGGAGAAUGUCAGGCAUUGGCUCUAUAUGCUUAAAUGAGGUUAUUGUUACAAUAAAGCUUUGACUUUGGGAAAAAUGAUAUUUUAUAGGAUUAGCAAUACAAUAGAAGGAACGUGGUCCCUGAUCAACUUUUUGUAAAGGUGUGACUCAGUUUGAAAGACUGGCUACUGCCUUCUGUGAGAAAGAAGUCUGACAGAAAGCCAGUAGGAAAAUACCAAGAAGUGUGAGAAGCACACAGGAAAACUUCAAAACAUGCUAAACAUCAUGGAGGCCUGGAUGCAGAACAGAAAUGUAAAAUUGUGAAAGGCCCAGAAAUUCACUCUUACAGUUUGAAUUUUAAGAAAGUAACACUUAAAAAAUUCAAGAAUCAAACUUUCAACAUAAUACCUAUGAGAAAGUCUUCUUUAAAACAUAACAUUGGCUGGGAAAUGAUUUCAAAGGCAAAGGUUAUACCUGAAGUCAAACAACGCAAGCAUGUCAUACAUAACUCCGUGAUACUCUAAAAGAAUUACAAGAAUACAAAAACAAUACAAAAUGGAAAUGUUUGGGACCAUGAGACUGAAUAGGAAGGAAGUCGCAAAAGAUCUGCAAAGGAAAAAACUGAAAAAGGGAGAUAUGUUAACAUAUCAGUGCGG
ensembl:lncRNA